UAGUGUUGGCUCAUUUGGUGAAAAACCCAUCACCAAAUUUAUCAGAAAAUGAAACCCUAGCUAUAGCAGUACGUUCCGAUCCUCUCUAUAUAAACAACGUACAUAAUCUUCUCUUGCAUCCUUCACAUUAUAGAGUAGCAGAUUCGGAGGAAAUAUCUAAACGCUCAGAAUGAGAUUCCUGGCUGUUGCCUUCAUCUUGAUGAUGGUGAGCUCUGCAUUUGCUGGCCGGCAGCUCGGUGAUGAUCGGCAUGGCAGUCGACAGCUAGAUCAGGAGACCAAGACAGUCGAUCAAGCUGGAUAUCCUGGAACCAGUGUGAAUAACCACCAUUACAUCCCUAGGCAAGACUUCAACAGCAAGGGGGGCGGUGAUGGUGGCAACGGUGACUAAAUUGUUUUGUAUUUCUAUGAAACGAUCCCGCGGUCACUAGUGGGGGUGUGUGUAGUUUAUAUGUAAGCUAUGAUCUAGCAUAUUAUUAGUAUCAGCUUGGGUUUGAGCGUUUGAGGCAUAUAUAUAGCCAGUUGUCUUAUAUGUACGUAUGACAUGUACUAUAUAUGGCACGCAGUGUGUAUUUGCUCACUUUUGUUAUAUUGUAUGGUUACGACUAAGGUAUAAUGAUCAAUUAGUCAUGA